ACAGUAGCCUAGUUUUCUUUGAUCUGAUAUCCUGAGCUAUAAAAUUCUUUAGUAACUUUACAUAUCUGUUUCUAUAAGGGCCUGCCUGACACUCAAAUUUCUACUCUUCAGAAAUUGUGAGUUUGAGCUGUUCAUGCAACCUUGAUCUGCCUCUGACAAAGAAAUCCAGAUGACAAGGACCUUGGUGAAGACAGUACCUGGAGAAUGUCAGCUUUGGAAAUAACGUUGGCUGUCGUCUUGACUCUACUGGCACUUGCUGUUCUGGCUAUUUUGUUAGCAAGAUGGACACGACGCAAGCGAAAUGAAACUCAUAUUUCCAGAUACAGUUCAGAGCAGAG